GCAAAUGUCACAAGGGUGGGACUACAGAAACGCUAGGCAGCAUAAACUCCACUUUCUGAGGUGAAAGCUGAAUUACUGUAGGGCAGCCCAUAGCCAAGGACACUUUGCUAUGGCAAAAGACAAAUGGAGAGACAACUGUCCCUGAAGUCAGAACAGGUGCUGCGGGACAGGCCAGAGUCCGGCAGGACAACUGUACUAUUCCUGUCCGGAACAGAGCCGGCUGAUUGCGGAUCCACAGAGACUAAUGACAGAUGGACAGGUGGGGAAGCCCUCGAACGGCCCGGAGAUUUAUUCACUACGAUGAGCAAUUUCCACACAAACAGACUCGUGGAAAAACAGCGCGAAUCAUGCAGCUGCAACACCCCGCGCCUAUUAACAUGACUUUGACCUCACACAUCCGGGUCAGUGCAUCCGAGCAGGGGAAUAAA